GACGAACGCUGGCGGCGUGCUUAACACAUGCAAGUCGAGCGGUAAGGCCCUUUCGGGGGUACACGAGCGGCGAACGGGUGAGUAACACGCGGGUGACCUGCCCUUACGCUCUGGGAUAAGCCUGGGAAACUGGGUCUAAUACCGGAUAUGACUCCAUAACGCAUGUUGUGGGGUGGAAAGCCUUGUGCGGCUAGGGAUGGGCCCGCGGCCUAUCAGCUUGUUGGUGGGGUGAUGGCCUACCAAGGCGACGACGGGUAGCCGGCCUGAGAGGGCGACCGGCCACACUGGGACUGAGACACGGCCCAGACUCCUACGGGAGGCAGCAGUGGGGAAUCUUGCGCAAUGGGCGAAAGCCUGACGCAGCGACGCCGCGUGGGGA
rnacentral:rRNA from 1 species